CCAUCUCUACCCCAUCGUACUAAAGUACCAUCCCCAGUAUCCCCUAUGGACUAGGAGAAAGAGAUUUACCGGUAGGUAAUUAAAAUCCUAUUUGUAAGCUCUCGAGCAGGGCCUUCUUCCCUCGUGUGCUUUUCCUGCUCUUACACUAUCUUGUACUCCAUAUUCCCUUUGAUGGCACCUAACCCCUGAUUUUCCAUACUUGUUCUAUAUUGUUUUGCACUAUAACUUGCUGUUUUCUUGUUUUGCUCAUUUGUUAUGUACUCUGAUGGGCGCUGCGGAUCCCUUGUGGCGCCAUAUAAAUAAAGGAUGAUGAUAAUAAUAAAACAUAAAUUCUACUUGUGAUACAAACUAUUACAGAAAUUACAGCCACUGGGGAGAAGUUAAUGGGUAACCUACAGACCUCGUGGACAGAAAGAACUGGACAGGGACUUAAUGCAGGACAUCAUUAAAAGUAGGGACAUCCAGAAUGCCUUCAAUGGAGUACAAGCCACUGGAGAGGAAUGUCACUUGCUGCUAACAAUAUUAAACUUACUGCUGCCA